GGGAGGGGGCCGGGCUAGCGGGCUACUGGGCUGCGGAGACCAGAGCCCGGCUCCACUGAAGAAACCCGCCGGCUGCUGGGGCAGGGCGGCGAAAGGUCAGUCGGCCGAGAGGAGUCCGUGGAGCCACCGUUUCAUAGCCUCAGGGAAAGGAUCGGGCGUGCUCACGAGCCCUCUAACCCAUGGCUUAAACACCCGCUUCCUAAGCCUGGGUUCUUAUGCCUUUGUUUGAAAAACAUGGUUCCCUGUGAAAUUUUACAUGUAGAAGAAAGCUUCACACUACGAGAGCUCUCAGGAUAUAAUUAUUUCAGACAGAUACUGGGAACAUAAGAUGGCUUAUCAAUCUAAGAUGGCCUUCCUGUCCUUCGGAUUGAACUGAAACCAUCCCUGAUUCCAGGGAUAGGUAGAUGAUCCAGGUUUGGACAAUCAAAAUAUUGAACCACCCUGGACCUACAAGUGUUUCUGGGAUGGGAACAUGCAAACGUUGGUCCAAAUUGUUGUUCUAGGCAGCCCAGUACAUUUCUCCAAUGCCUGAUGGAAUGAUAGGGUAUGCAUAAAUGUUCAUGUGGGCUCUGGAGUAUACCAGGAACUGAAGUAAGGUACAUGGACGUCUUGAAUAUUGUAACUGAGAUGGGCAAGCCUACACCUUUGCAAAUAAAGGAGGAUUGGGAAAGAUUAAGCCUCUCAAGCACUGUGAAAAAUCACUUUCUCUUGUUGUAUUCUUGGAGCCCCUGCUAAUUCAUUAUUGAAAAAUACCUGCUGCCUGCAUUUGGCCUUAUGUUGUCAUUUACUUGGUACUUCCUAAGCGUGGCUACUCCAAUGAAGCUUUAGUAUAUGUACUGAAAGAAGAUCCUCUCAUACUGCCACAGCCAAGAGAUAAGGUUGUAAAUCUUUAUUGGGAGAAGCCGUCAAGGACAGUUCUGUGAAAUGAAAGGAUCUCUGGAUCACCACAAAGUCUGGCUCAGUGACUAUGGCUUUGCAAACACUAAACAUUCCUGUCUCAAGUCCUGUAGAUGGCUUGAAAUAGUAUACAUAAGCAUGCCUUAUAAACAUCUUCAGUCUUUAUCAACUCUUUGGAGAUUCAGCCAUUCUUUUUUGUACUUUAGGGAAUUAAAUCAUUUUAUAAUGUAUAAAUCUGAGCAUGGCCGAUGGCAGAAGAAAUUUUGUCAUACGUUUUUAAAGAAAUAAAAAUGUAUUAUGUUUU
rnacentral:lncRNA from 1 species